rnacentral:rRNA from 1 species
UACGGGGGGGGCAAGCGUUGUUCGGAAUUACUGGGCGUAAAGGGCUCGUAGGCGGCCAACUAAGUCAGUGGUGAAAGCUCCGAGCUUAACUCGGAAACUGCCAUUGAUACUAUUGGUCUUGAAUUCGGUCGAGGUUGGCGGAAUGUGUCGUGUAGCGGUGAAAUGCUUAGAUAUGACACAGAACACCGAUUGCGAAGGCAGCUAGCUAGACCGACAUUGACGCUGAGGCACGAAAGCGUGGGGAUCAAACAGG